UACGUAGGGCGCAAGCGUUGUCCGGAAUUAUUGGGCGUAAAGAGCUCGUAGGCGGCUUGUCACGUCGGAUGUGAAAGCCCGAGGCUUAACCUCGGGUCUGCAUUCGAUACGGGCUAGCUAGAGUGUGGUAGGGGAGAUCGGAAUUCCUGGUGUAGCGGUGAAAUGCGCAGAUAUCAGGAGGAACACCGGUGGCGAAGGCGGAUCUCUGGGCCAUUACUGACGCUGAGGAGCGAAAAGCGUGGGGGAGCGAACAGG
rnacentral:rRNA from 1 species